CCUACGGGUGGGCAGCAGUGAGGAAUAUUGGUCAAUGGCCGGAAUGCUGAACCAGCCAUGCCGCGUGAAGGUCAAUGCCCUAUGGGCGUUAAACUUCUUUUUUGCGGGAGCAAUAAUGGUCACGUGUGGCCAGCCGAGAGUACCGUACGAAUAAGCAUCGGCUAACUCCGUGCCAGCAGCCGCGGUAAUACGGGGAAUGCAAGCGUUAUCCGGAUUUAUUGGGUUUAAAGGGUGCGUAGGCUGUGAGGUAAGUCAGCGGAGAAAUUCCACCGCUCAACGGGGUGCAGUGCCAUUGAUACUGCCUAGCUGGAGUGCGGAUGCGGUGGGAGGAAUGUGUGGUGUAGCGGUGAAAUGCAUAGAUAU
rnacentral:rRNA from 1 species